AAUGGCAGCUGAAAAAUUUUGACCCUUGUUUCUGGAAGUGAAAUGUUAGAUGGUUUGAUGAAGUGCCACAGAGAUUAUCGCUUAAAGAAUGCGUGCAGGCCAACCACCAACACAAGAUAUUAAAAGAGCAAUGAAAAUGAAGAUUUAACUAUAA